rnacentral:rRNA from 1 species
UACGAAGGGGGCUAGCGUUACUCGGAUUGACUGGGCGUAAAGGGCGCGUAGGCGGUUUGUACAGUCAGACGUGAAAUUCCUGGGCUCAACCUGGGGGCUGCGUUUGAUACGUGCAGACUUGAGUUCGGAAGAGGGUCGUGGAAUUCCCAGUGUAGAGGUGGAAAUUCGUAGAUAGUUGGGAAGAACACCGGUGGCGAAGGCGGCGACCUGGUCCGAUACUGACGCGAGGCGCGAAAGCGUGGGGAGCAA